UACGAAGGGGGCUAGCGUUGUUCGGAAUUACUGGGCGUAAAGCGCACGUAGGCGGGUUGUUAAGUCAGGGGUGAAAUCCUGGAGCUCAACUCCAGAACUGCCUUUGAUACUGGCAACCUAGAGACUGGAAGAGGUUAGUGGAAUUCCCAGUGUAGAGGUGAAAUUCGUAGAUAUUCGGAGGAACACCAGUGGCGAAGGCGGCUCACUGGUCCGGUACUGACGCUGAGGUGCGAAAGCGUGGGGAGCAAACAGG
rnacentral:rRNA from 1 species